rnacentral:rRNA from 1 species
UUGAACGCUGGCGGCAUGCUUUACACAUGCAAGUCGAACGGCAGCGCGGGGCAACCUGGCGGCGAGUGGCGAACGGGUGAGUAAUAUAUCGGAACGUACCCAAGAGUGGGGGAUAACGUAGCGAAAGUUACGCUAAUACCGCAUACGAUCCAAGGAUGAAAGCAGGGGACCGCAAGGCCUUGUGCUCCUGGAGCGGCCGAUAUCUGAUUAGCUAGUUGGUGAGGUAAAGGCUCACCAAGGCGACGAUCAGUAGCUGGUCUGAGAGGACGACCAGCCACACUGGAACUGAGACACGGUCCAGACUCCUACGGGAGGCAGCAGUGGGGAAUUUUGGACAAUGGGCGCAAGCCUGAUCCAGCAAUGCCGCGUGAGUGAAGAAGGCCUUCGGGUUGUAAAGCUCUUUUGUCAGGGAAAGAAACGGUGCGGGCUAAUAUCCUGCGCUAAUGACGGUACCUGAAGAAUAAGCACCGGCUAACUACGUGCCAGCAGCCGCGGUAAUACGUAGGGUGCAAGCGUUAAUCGGAAUUACUGGGCGUAGUAAGCGUGCGCAGGCGGUUUUGUAAGUCUGAUGUGAAAUCCCCGGGCUCAACCUGGGAAUUGCAUUGGAGACUGCAAGGCUAGAAUCUGGCAGAGGGGGGGUAGAAUUCCACGUGUAGCAGUGAAAUGCGUAGAGAUGUGGAGGAACACCGAUGGCGAAGGCAGCCCCCUGGGUCAAGAUUGACGCUCAUGCACGAAAGCGUGGGGAGCAAACAGGAUUAGAUACCCUGGUAGUCCACGCCCUAAACGAUGUCUACUAGUUGUCGGGUUUUAAUUAACUUGGUAACGCAGCUAACGCGUGAAGUAGACCGCCUGGGGGAGUACGGUCGCAAGAUUAAAACUCAAAGGAAUUGACGGGGACCCGCACAAGCGGUGGAUGAUGUGGAUUAAUUCGAUGCAACGCGAAAAACCUUACCUACCCUUGACAUGUCAGGAACCCCGGAGAGAUCUGGGGGUGCCCGAAAGGGAACCUGAACACAGGUGCUGCGUGGCUGUCGUCAGCUCGUGUCGUGAGAUGUUGGGUUAAGUCCCGCAACGAGCGCAACCCUUGUCAUUAGUUGCUACGAAAGAGCACUCUAAUGAGACUGCCGGUGACAAACCGGAGGAAGGGUGGGGAUGACGUCAAGUCCUCAUGGCCCUUAUGGGUAGGGCUUCACACGUCAUACAAUGGUACAUACAGAGGGCCGCCAACCCGCGAGGGGGAGCUAAUCCCAGAAAGUGUAUCGUAGUCCGGAUUGUAGUCUGCAACUCGACUACAUGAAGUUGGAAUCGCUAGUAAUCGCGGAUCAGCAUGUCGCGGUGAAUACGUUCCCGGGUCUUGUACACACCGCCCGUCACACCAUGGGAGCGGGUUUUACCAGAAGUAGGUAGCUUAACCGCAAGGAGGGCGCUUACCACGGUAGGAUUCGUGACUGGGGUG